AUGAUCUGCAGCAUCCUGCUGCUCAUCAACCUGACCUCCUGUUUCUGUGGAACAUUUGUAGUGAAUGUGACACAGACCUCCUAUCAGGCAGAGGAGAACGAUAACAUCACACUGGAAUGGACGUUCACAACCAACACUGACAGUUCCCUCAACUCUCUUUAUAUCUACUGUAAACUGUUUACUGAUCACAAGGUUUCAGUCCUGUUUCAUCUACAUGAAGGUGUCGAGGUCUCAGAGUCUCAGGAUGCACAGUUUGCAGGACGAGUCCACUGCGACACAGACGUCCUCAGAGAAGGACGAAUCAGACUUCAUGUGUCCAGACUCAGGACUGAAGACUCGGGCCUGUACCUGUGUAAAGUGCUCACAAAGUAUGGUGUCAGUGCUGUCAAAAGUCAGCUCAGUGUCACUGGUAAGUUGGUUCAGUAGAACUCAGUAGGAUAACACGACUAAGAGUCUUAAGGGUUUUAUCAUUAUAUGACGUGCCUCAAGUGCUGCCCCUGGCACAGACAGGAAGCAGUCUGGAAAGUGGAGGAUAUCAGGCGGCAGCAGCAGGAGGAGGUGACGGAAAGGAGCAGUCAAGUUGGACCCGAAUCUAACCAGCAUGCGUUGUGCUUCGCCGGUGACCGAUUCUGCGCAGGCCUGGCUCAUCUCGAACAAGCCUAAUCUCCCGGAGCUGUUCAGGCUUGUGGUAACAGCAGAUCUGCACUGAUGACAAACUCUCCUUUGCUAUUACCACCCAAUGCUGUAGUCUUAGUUUAACAUGAUUAACACAACACAAAUUAUAGCUGACUUACAUACACCAAAGUAUCGGACAAAAUAAUAUUUUGACGUGAUGAUGGCACAAAAAGAAAAGUCGGAGGUUCACCAAAGUGAGAAUUCAUCCUGAUGAGGACGUGAAUGUCUGUCCUAAAUUUCAUGUCAGUCCAUCUAACAUUUCAUUCAAAACCACAAAUGUUAACCACAUGGUGGCGCCAGAGGAACAGGAAGGGACAGACCAAAAUCAGUGGGAUUCAUCUUCUGGGCACCUUGGAUUCUGUACAGAUCUGGAUCAUUAUAAUAGUUGUUGAGAUAUCUCAGUCUGGACAUAGAGCCAUGCUGCUAGUGUGACUAUUGUCUAUUGUGACUACUGUCCAUCAUUUUUUAAUAAACUAGAAUGAUAAUUAAUCAACAUAAAUAGAACUGACUUUGUUUAAGGAAUUACUGCCACAUCAACCCUUCUUGACCGGACUUUCUUUUUUACUGAAAGAAAUGCCAACGUUAUCAAGCGUUGUGUUACUGCAGAUUUUUUCUCCCUGUAAAUCAGCUGUGGUUAUUGGGUGUUCUAUUUCAGACAAUCAUCCACAUUUUUCUGUCACUUACAGCAGCUGCUGAUAAGCCCAAACCUCAGAGAGCAACAGUGAGACCACAACCAGAGAGUCCACAACCAGAGAGACCAGAGACUCGGGGAAGGAUCGGCCUCUACUUUGCACUGGGACUGACCGCAGCAGCUCUCCUGGCUGUGCCAUACUCUAAACUCUUUGCCUUCAGUCUUCUUUUUAAAAAAAUCUACUGAUUAUACAGAUGUGUUACUUUGUGUUGUUGUUUUUAAACAUAAAACAUUCAUUAUGAUCAUAUUCAUUAUUGAUUAAGUUGCUAUGGCAGCAGCUGUGUGUGUAGAUGCAGUUGGCGUACCUUUUAAUGAACUUUUUUAAUUGUAUUUUUGUACUUUACUGCUGAAUAAACAUGUCUAUGACAGAAAUUAAUUAUUUUCCGAGAACUAUUUCCUGGUCGCUGAUUCUUCAUUUUAAUUUUGGUUAAAUUACUUAGUGAAUGUGGUUUGUCCUUGUUUGACUUGAAAGUUUGAAAUUUUUUGUUUUACUGUGAAGUAAAAAGUUACUGUGUGAAGAACACAACAGGAACAGUCCCACAUAUUUCCUCUCAACAGUGUCUUUUUUUGUGGAGGGAAUAUACACAGGUGGUAACGUUCAGUCUGCAUGGUUUUUUUUCCUCCUUCCACGCACACCAGAGGGAGGCUCAACAUGUCAAUCAAAGUUAAACACGAGCUUUUUGAUAAAAUGUCUGCAGAGCAUUCAUACAGAUACACGAUUAAGUAGCACAAUGAAGGUCUACACAUUGGAAUUUGAAAUGUACUCCCAAAAAGUGACAUUUGAUUUAAAAAUGCAAGUCAUUUUGUUGUAUAAGUUUCUCAAAUACUUCAACUGACUAAUCGCCCCAUGACCUUUGGAACUGGAGGAGGAAACCAAAUAUUUUCCACCAGCUCUGGAUAACACAUAUCUGUUCUAUAAAACAACAAAUUAAGUUGUUUUGACACCUCUUAGUCAUUCUCACCUACCUUUGGUUUCCACAGAGUGCUUCCCCGAUUCUAUAUUACUACAUAUUUCUACUAUAAUUAGAAAACACAUUGUGAAGUUAUAAUGGCAACAUGCUGACAGGUGAUGAUGUAGAGAGCCACGUUGCUAGAAAAAGGCCUGAGAGGUUUUAUUUAGAUAUAAGAACUGUAUUGGUCACCCGCUUACAUUCAGCCCAAAUAAAGUAAUGUAAUACAGCCCUAGGUGGACCAGAUAUAGUAACCACUUGACACAGCAUAUCUCAGCCAAUCUGUCUCUCUGUCUCCUCUCUUGACCAGAUGAGCUACAAGGGCGCCCCUGACAAAUAGUUAAAUGAGGAAGCAAACAACAGUGCUGAAACUUGUCUGAUCUAACAUAGGGCCAGAAUAGAGUACAGACGGCUGACAUACGGCUCUGUCCAUAACUCACUGCUGUAUUUGGGCUGAAUGUAUGGACACAGAUAGUCACAGCGCACAUGAUGUAAACACAAUGUAUUCAUUCAUCCAUGUGGUUUAUUUGGGAACUGCCAUAAACAGUGCCACUUAAAAUGUGGCUAUCAUUAAUCCAAUUGAACUUUCAAUAACAUUUGAGAAAGUCUUCUUCUCAAUAAAUUAAUAUUUUUUCACAAAAAUGUAAAGCACUUCAUAUGACGGGCAAAUAAAUUAGUAGCAAAGUAACAUGAUACAUCCUCAAAACAACUGAAAUGAACAGACACCUUAAACACAGCAGUGGCAAGAACAUAACAGGUAGCUUUUAAGAUCUAUAUAAUCUAAUACAUGCAACCACUAUGAUGAAGAUGCCCAGCACAACAUCAGAAAGGAAAGAACAUUGAAAAAUAAUGGUUAAUCAAAGAAAAAGACCAGCUUUUGUUGGAACAUUUCUAAAUAAAAAACAAGAAUAAAACUCUACUGGUUACUCUUUUAGAACGAGUUAGGUGCCCUGCUCAAAGGCACUUUGCCAGUUGCUGUUAAGAAAGUAGAGAACACUUUUUUAUGUAAAAGUAAAUUGGCUCUGAUUUAAAUUUGCAAAAAAAACCCUAAAAAAAUCUGCAGGUGCAUUCCGCAAAACUGAGAAAUGAAUGUGAAAAUGUGUGUGGUAGCGACAGCUGGUUUGGGGUCAGUCACUGGAAAGAGCCAGUAAUUCAAAACAUUUUAAAAAGCUCUCAUCCAGGGUGUCCUUUUCCAUGUCGAAACCAAACGUGUUCAGGAAGGGGGAAAAAAAUCCAGCAUAUGAUGUUGCCAUGUCCACAAGCUGCAGGCGAGCUGCAGAUAAAGAGAAAGAGAGCAGAUGGCUUUCGAUUCUGUUGCUACACCACCUCAGUACAUUUAAACUGCCUCAUGACAUAAAUAACGUGGUGUGUAUUUAGGUUGCAACCGCCCCAAAGUAUUCAAAUAACUUCCCCUGUAAUGCAGAGUUAUAAAAAUAGAGAUGAAAUGCUGCUUUGCAUCAAACAAAAACCCCACACAAGCAAUUUGGAGAUAGACGUCCGACUAGUCCACUCUAUCAAAAUGAAGCCAAAGUAUCCCGGAUACAGCUGCUGUCAUCUUGCUCUGGAGACGCCAUUUUGAGUCUGUGCAGCUGUAAUCAGGCUUGGCUCAGCGGUAUUGAAGUCCCGCUGUGAAAACCCUCUUUUUAUUGCAUCAAAUAACCAAGAUUGACGUGUACUUUGAGUUUUUUUUAGGUCAGGGCUAACUGGGGUCAAUCAAGAUGUUUUGGCUUCACUUUUGGGAGCAGUCCAUUUUCAAUAAAGUGCUUCAGUGCAAAAUACCAUAAAUAGUUAAUUAAAAGAAAGUUAAGAUGCCUUCAAACUAAAUACUCUCAUCGCUCACUUUCAUGACAUGAAGUCAACAUUUGUUCAAACGUUGGAACUCUCCAGAUGUCACAUGGUCAAUGGUUAGGGUUCAAAACGGAGCAACUUACAGGAUUUCCUGCUGGUAGUUUGUUUCACUCCACACAUAAAUCCUCUCUUCCGCAGAUCCAGUGUCUCCAGCUGUGGCUGGAGGGGUCGCUGGUUUGAAUCGUUGAACUAAUUAGUAAGAUCCGCCGGUAGUGCUCUCAUCUCUGUUAGCAACGUCCAGCA
rnacentral:lncRNA from 1 species